AGAAUCAACGCUGGCGGCGUGCCUAACACAUGCAAGUCGCACGAGAAAGGGUAGCAAUACCUGAGUAAAGUGGCGCACGGGUGAGUAACACGUGAAUUAUCUACCUCCGAGUGGGGAAUAACUGAGAGAAAUCUUAGCUAAUACCGCAUAACACUUACGAGUCAAAGCAGCAAUGCGCUUGGAGAGGAGUUCGCGGCCGAUUAGUUAGUUGGCGGGGUAAUGGCCCACCAAGACGAUGAUCGGUAUCCAGCCUGAGAGGGCGCACGGACACACUGGAACUGAAACACGGUCCAGACUCCUACGGGAGGCAGCAGUGGGGAAUUUUGCGCAAUGGGGGAAACCCUGACGCAGCAACGCCGCGUGGAGGAUGAAAUAUCUUGGUAUGUAAACUCCUUUCGAUGGGGAAGAUUAUGACGGUACCCAGUAGAAGAACGCCCCGGCUAACUUCGUGCCAGCAGCCGC
rnacentral:rRNA from 1 species